AGUCAGAAUCUGGAAGGAGAAACAAAUAUCUGGCAGCCAGUUGAUUGGACUAUAAAUAGCUGAAGCUGAGGGAAGGCUUGCUCCAGCUAGGAAGCGGCCCCAGUAAAGUGCUGGAGGCAAGUGAGGAAGACGUGGAGAAGCUUUGCCCCAGUGGAGAAGCUUUGCCCCGAUGGAGAAGCUUUGCCCCAAGGUUGAGGAUCAUUCUCCAGCAGUGCCAACAGCAGCUGGUGAGUGUGGUCCCUGGAGCCUCUCCCGUGCAGCAGACUGGCCUUGUCUAGUCUCUGUCAUGUUUGUCUGGAAGCCAACAAGUCUCUAGUGGGGAGAAUGGAAGCAAGGAUUUCCCAGGCCUUGGAGAGUCCCAAAAUCAACAAUGCGUUUCCCUCGUUAGCAUCUAUCUUGCUGACUCCUCACUGUGGUACGGAACACUUCCUUUCACAUUUGUGUGGUCUGGUCAGGGACAGCUAAUUUUCUCAUGUGCUCAGUCAAUCUGAACACAUGGUCUUCUUCAAGAUUCCUCUUCACACUUAAGAAGCGUCUCCAAAGACACAUUGGAUCCAUGAUUUUAAAAUCUUUCCUAGGUUCAAAUUCAGUAAUUUUCUAAGAGCUCCUGAAGGGCUGGCUGUGCAGGGUAAGCCCCACUAACACCGCAAAGCCAACAACUGUUUGUCAACCCAUGGCUAUUCUCGACUUCAGCCUGGAUCCAGGGCUUCCUGAGUUACAGAGCAAUGUUACAGGUGGUGUCUGCUCCUCACGACAAACUCUGCCUUAAGAUCAGCAUGGAACUCACACAUGGAAAGGAGGGCAGGACUCAAGCCUCAAAGCUUGCACAACUGAAUCUAAGCUGAGCUCUCUGAGUGGUGAGAACAUUUAUGCACAAUCUUCUGCUGUGCUCAACGUGACCAUUUUUUUCCAUGACGUUCUGUUGGUGGGUGUCUUAGUCAGGGUUUCUAUUCUUGCAUAAACAU